AGUGUAUGAUGAUACCGAUAGUGUGUCAGCAAGCCAUGGGAAAAGACGGAAAACAGGUUGUGUGGAAAGCAAACGGGGACAUAACAAAAAGCACAGUGGGAAGAAAAGCAUUGUCGGGGAUAUUUCUGGGUGUGGAAAUAAAAGAAAACGUGGUGAAAGAAACAGCGCCGAUGAUAAUUAUGGCAAUGUAA